CCUUAGCCCCGAUAGAAGCGGAUACCCCGCAGCAGCAGGGCUUCAGGAGGGGGCGAGGAGUAAAAGCGGAUAGCGGGAUAAAGC
rnacentral:sRNA from 1 species